UUUUUUUUAAUCAAAAUUAAGUAAAUAAGUCAAUUCUCAGCCCAAUUCUCCAACCCAUACCUCUUGACCCGGCCAUAUAAAGUUUUCCUUUGAUUUCCACCAACAUAGAACGCAAUAUCAAGGUCUACCUUUUCAAAUGGUCGUCUUCACGGCGUCUUCACGCCCGGUCGAAACGACAACGGCAACUUCAGCAAAAAGACAUUUGCUCGAUCCAAUGCACGGAAUAGACGAAAAUUAGUUGAUGUUCAUGCAUCUUCAGCCUGGUACUGCCGCCGUACGACUCUCUACAAUUCCAGUUCUUUUUUUUGGCUGGAUAAAGCCACGCCAAAUCGUUCUUGCUUGCACAAGAUGAUGCCACGUCAAGCCGCGAGGACGGAGGAUUAACUAUGGCCGUCCAUGUUCCUUUCAUCAUUUCAAAUUUUGGCCAAGAAAUUCAUUUUAUUUAUCAGAGCGGUUCUUUAGUGCAGAAUUUUGAAUUUUGAAUCCUGGGAAUGCCUUUUCUACCCUUUUCCCUCCAAUCCCAAAACCUAAUUUUUCAACUAUAAGUAAUCUUUUGCAUUCAUUUUUUUUUUGGGUCUUCUUGGAGAUAUUUUUUAUCUCAAGCAUAGAAAUUACACAGGUAAAUAACCAAAAGGCAUACCAGAAUACCUUUCGAAAAGAAGGAAGAGUUAAAUCCCGAUCUUUAGCUUGGGGUGUGUUUAAGUUGCUGUCUGGGUUCCUCGAUUACCUUCCAUUUUGCGUUUGGUGUGAUAGUUGUUGCCCUAUCAGCUCGUCGUUGUCCUAGUUCCUGCCUCGAAAAGUUGCAUGUGAAAUCAAGUUGAGUUCUUUAAGGACUCAUCCUUUCUCUUUGCAUAUCGAAGAUAUCCAUAAAGGUUUGAAACUUCCUUUAUCGAGAUGGUCAGCCCCCUCAAAACAUGACGUACAGGUCGCGAAACGAAGGGUAGAACUAUAGAAGAAAUAAAGAAGGUGACCACGAGUCCCAUUUUAUGUCGUCCCUUUUUAUUUUUAUUUUGUUAUCUUUGAGCAUAAGCCCUUGUCGUCUUUUAUUUUCUAUUAUUAUUGUAUGUUUAGUCUAGGACAGAUACAAAGAAAGUGGGCCUAAAGGCCAAAACCAAAAAUGGGCCCAAACACCGAUCCAGGCGGACAGAAACCGGGUUUGGGUCAAACCCAACUCUCUCUCUCCCCCUCUUUUAUUUUAUGUGUACUUAUCUUCUUUUAUUUGUCGAUAACUUAAAGUUGAAGAAUCCAAAUUACCGCAAAUGCCGUAAAUGUUUUGUCGAUUUAAAGUUAACUUCAAACGGAUUAUAAAAGAAUAAAUGAAAUUUUCAAACCAAUUUCUACUUAAAUAGUAAAAUUAAAUAUUUCCUUUUUUAAACAACUUCAAAUAAUUCUCGCUUAGACAAUAAGAUAGUUUUCAAAGGAACUUUAGAUUAUAAUAAGAAUCCCUGAACUCCUUUAAAAGUUUUCAAAAUGAUUUUUCUGUUUAAAUCUUUUGAAAACAGUAGUUUGCUUGAUUUUUCUUUAAAAAUUAAGUGGCGACUCGAAAACUAUAAAAAAAAAUUCAUAAUAUAAUAUUUUCUGAAAACUUUGGUAGAAAAUGUUUAAAAUAGUAUUAUCUUUGAUUCAUAGAAUAUUAUGAUUAUUGGAUUCAAUUAGUGAUCAUGGCCAUUGGUAAGGGUCUUUGAGUAUUGUGUUGGAUGAUUUAGCUAUGGAUUGGAGUUGUGAGAUUGGAAUGGAGGUAUGUUGACCUAACUUUCUCUAUAUUGUGUAGUAUAGUUCUUAGAUGAUGAUGAUGUUUGGUAUGGUCCACUUAUGGUGGUGGUGAUUAUGUGCUAUACCUGUGAAUUAUGUUGUCUCGUCAACAUUACAUUAUGAAUUGUGAAACAAUGUGGCCUCGUCAUCAUUACUUUAUGUAUUAUGGAUUUAUCAUGUUGUAACUUGAAUAUGUUAGUAUUGUGAGAUUGUUGAUGAGUGCGGUAUAUAUAUGGCGUCAAAGCAUGAGUUCUUUAAGUUGAUCAUGUGUAUCUCUAGUAGGCUAUAGUGAAGUCAUUAUGUGUAUUACUUGAUGUUGAAGUAUGAUGAUUCUUGAUGGAUUAUAUGAGCCUUGUGAUAAUUUAGAUGGAUGAUAAAAUAGUAGGGAAUAGGGUGACCUAUAAAUGACAUUGUUUAUUCCUAUGUACUUCUUGAAUGAUAUGAUAUAUGUGAUAUGGUGAAGUAUAUGUAUGUCUUAUUUUGAUAGACUUGUGUCCCUUACUUGAUACAUGUACAAUGUAAAUAUUAGUUCUCUACUUAGUAUGCUAAAGCUUCUUAGUCUUGUAUGUAUGACUGACAUGUGACCUUGAACAUAGUUAAGAAGGUCUUUUAUGGGGAACCUUCAACCUAGAUGGAAGGUUAUGAUAUCCUUGAUGUUGAAAGCCAUAAUGGUAUACUUCUUAUGUGAAUUGUGGACUUAGGUUUGAUUGGCUGGAACGGCAUGAAAUCAUCCUUAGGAAAGUCAUUGAGCUAUCCUCUUGACCAUUGCAGGUAGCCUUAGUGGACCCUCUUUGGUAAGGUGUAAUGUGAUUGGAUUGUGAACAAGUUAUGGUACCGAUCCAUAUGCUCCUUAUUGAAAUACUGUAGGAGAACAAAUUCUAGCAUAUAAUGAGUAUGUUAGGGGAGUUUCUCUAAAUAAGAUGACAUUAGAUAACAAAGAAACCCUUCAUAGUCCUUAACCAUGCGCUUACAUGGGAUGUGUCCUAGUUCUACCAUUGGCAAGUGAACACCCUCCAUCAGAGUAGGUUCAUGACUCUAUAUUCCAUGCAUAACUAGUAUUCUCUAUGUUGUUUAUUGCCUAUUAUCAUCAUAUAGGAUACCUACAAGUGUUGGAGAAGUUCUAUGGAGUUAAGGUAGUGGUAUGGGGCGCUAUCUAGACACUGCACGAUUAGGCUUUCAAGAUGUUAUUGUGUUAGUCCCUAGGUCUUCUCCAACACUAUUAUUUGAAUGUCCUUGAAUGUUAAAUGUCUCUUGAUGAAUUAAUGAAGAUAAAGACGGAAGUUAGAAAGUAUGUUAAUGAAUAAGUACUUACGUAGAGUAGUUUAAGGAUUGCUUAGUUAAGGUGUAAGGGGGUAUUGGAAUGGUAUCUUCAUGUCUUACUCAGGGAAGACUAAAGAACAACUUUAGAUAGGGAAAAUAAAUUGAUAAAUUAGACAUGAUCUAAACAUAGGUAGUCUUUAAGGAUUAUUUAGGUAAGCUUGAAGAGGGUGUAUGGGCGGUCUCUUCUUGUAUUACUUAAGUAAGUCUUUUGAUAACCUUUGGGAGGAGAAUGUCAUAUUAUAUUCUAUUAUGUAAAAUGAGAAUUACCUUAUCGUAGGUAGUCUAAAGGAUCUCUUUGGUGUGUGUGAAGGGAUUGUAUGGGUGGUCGCUUCAUAAAUCACUUAAGUGAGCCUUGGAAUUACCUUUAGUAGGAGGAUCUCAUGUCUAUGUGUUUUGAUGUAUGUUUGAUGCUAUAUUGUCAUGUGUGAGUUUUAUAUGAUGUUAAAGUGAAGUCACUGUAAUGCUUACUGUAAUGUUAUUGUAAAUGCAUCUAAUUUAGAGAUGACUUGUACUUUAUUCUAAAUAUGAUGUGUGGUAUUUAAAUGUGAUUAAUAUAUAGUUAUAAUAUGAAGUUUUAAUCAAAAAGAGUAUGUUUCUCAUGAAUGUCCAUUUCUCAUGAUUUUAUGUAUUAUGUUAUACUUAGUACAUGCAUUGUACUAAUUCCAUACAUUUUGUCUAUUUCAAAGGGUGUAGGUGGAACAUAAGAGGUGUCUUGAAGCAAGGCUUGGAAUCUAGACUUUUUCAGGCAAAAUUGAAGUAUGUCCUCACUUGACUCGGGGACAUUACUAUCUUUAGACUUCUUUUAUUCAAAGUAUUGUAAUAGACUAAGUUCUUUAUUUUGAUUGUAUGGGUUGUGUCCCAAGUUUUCUUGAGUCUAAGAUUAGCGUAUGUUAAGACUUAGUAUUUUCCUAUGGUUUUAUAUGAAAGAUAUUAUGAGAUAUUAUUCGUGUGAAAGGUUUUAGUUCUGUACUA